CGUACAAAACGCCGAUAAAAAUAUUGAGCCGAAAUUCAGAAAACAAUUUGUGCAUUUGGAUACUCCUAAUAUUCCUUGCGAUAAUCCUCCGAUUAUAUUUUGUUAAAUAUUAUGUUGAUGCACAAACGAUAUUCUGUUGCGAGGUGAAUGGACGGUACGCAAAUGGCGUAUGAAUAAAAAAUUGAACGGUGCGCGGUGCCUUAUUACCGUUAUACGUCUUGCUAAAAAAGUCCGAUAAGAAUAAUAGUGAAUGAGCCACAC